rnacentral:misc_RNA from 1 species
CAGGAAAGGGGUUAAAGGAUGAACUGUUUUUAGGGAGUUCAGGAAACGGGGGGCUAAAAUAAUUGUUGCUGGCCUUGUCAAAAAGAUUGUGUGCACUACCUCUGGGGACCUCUUCGAACUAAGGGUGUGUCUACCCCCUCAUCUCUCACCUGUGCACCUAAUGUAAGUCUGCAUGGUAUUGGUAACACACACCUGUGCCAAGUACCUAUGUCUUCAAAUACAUCUUCGUGUAGAAAGUCAUUGAAUGUUUACUAUCAUUGAGUCACGACUCUUAAGAGACGUGCGUCUUUCAGAUAAUAAAAAAAACUUUAAUUACACCUUUC